UUUUUUUUUUUUUUUUUUUUUUGCUUUUUAGGGCCUCACCCGAGGCAUAUGGAGGUUCCCAGGCUAGGAGUCCAAUCUGAGCUGUAGCCACUGGCCUACUCCAUAGCCACAGCAAUGCAGGAUAUGAGCCGUGUCUGUGACUUACACCACAGCUCACGGCAACGCCAGAUCCUUGACCCACGGAGCGAGACCAGGGAUUGAAACCGAAACCUCAUGGUUCCUAGUCUGAUUCGUUUCCACUGCGCCAUGAAGAUUAACUUUAAAAAAUUUCCCAAAUUUCAAAAAUUUGUUAGCUGUAUUACUUGACUACAGUGUUAAUGAUCUUGCACUCCCCCUGCUGGCUGACUCUUUAGAAAUACAAUGAAUUAAGGAAAAGAAUACUAAUUCUGAGCUGAGAGUAUCUGUCAAAUUUUAUAUUCUUUGUAGAAGUGGCUGAUGUUAUAGGAGGUGUCAUUCGAGUAAGGAAUUGAUGCAUUAUGUCUUUCCUUUUUUGUGACUUGUUUACAGUGGUAUUUAGUGCUCAGAGGAUAUUCAUUUAGCAUUUUUUGAAAAAAGGUAAACUUAGAUUUAGUUAUAGCAUGUGUUAUAAGUUUACUCUCCUGUGUUCUAAAAAGCCACCAUUGGCCUACACCACAGCUAUAGCUACGCCAGAUCCUUAACCCAUUGAGGCCAGGGAUUGAUCCCACAAUCUCAUGGUUCCUAGUCGGAUUCGUUUCCGCUGUGCCACAACGGGAACUCCUUUAAGCUACUUUUUUCAACCAAAAAUAACUUGUGGUUUGUGUGCCUUUAUUUGGUCAUUCAUUCUUACGGCAUUUAUUUAUUGAAUGUCGCUUAGUUUCUGUAAAGCCCUGAUAGGUGUUGAGGUGAACACAGAAGGAUGAGGUGAUACUCCAUGAAGGCUUAGGGCUACUGUAUCACUCCUAAGAUCUAAACUCUCUGCCAAUGAAAAUAUUAAAUGCCAGUGUGUCAUUAAAUAGUGUGAUGAAUGCUAUGGGAUAUUAAACACAUUUGAAUGUUAAAGAUGAUGAAGCCCAUUGUGGUGUUAAAGAUAAAGACAGGCAUCAGAGUGCUUACAAGACUCUGAGGAAUGGAUGUAGUUCAGGUAGGCAGAAGUGGAGGAUGUGACGGACAGGCAUUCCAGGGAACAGCAUGGUAAAAGGCAUGAGUAGGAUAUUAGUGUAAUUUAUUUAGGGUACAGUGAAAAGCACUGUCCUGGAGCUUUACACACUUAGUCGAUUUAAUUCUUAAAUUAAUCCUCUGGUGUGGUGUGACUCUCUUUCACAGAUAAAAGUAAGAAAGGCUUAUAGGGGUUAAAAUAUUGUUAGCAUUUCCAUCUGCCAGUCAUGAAAGUUCUAGGAUUUAUCUUGCAUAUAUCUGAGUGCAGAUGAAGCCUAUGCUUCUCUGGCUGUAACUGAAGUUGGAUAGGACCAUGGAGCAUAGGUAUUGUGAUGUGUGAUUUUCAUAUUCCAAAAUGCACUUAUUGGGAAUUAAUGUAAAUAUGGCUAACUGGAGCUUUAUUCUAAAACUUGGUUGUUUUUAGUGCUCGCUAAAAUUUUAUUGACCUAUUGGUAGUAGGGAAAAUACGUGUAUGUUCUGCUCUGCGCACCCUGUCCCCACCAGGGCACUGGUAGAAAUGGGAUAACUGAUACAUAGCACUGUUUGCUGUCAGUCUGCAUCUGACCUCAGUGUUCUUUUUUUAAAAAAUGCACUCGAGAAGGUUAUGCUCUAAGAAAAUUUUAUGUGAGCUUAAUUUUAUUCUUUAAGCCAUACUUUCAUUUCUUUGUCUUUUUAACAAUGACCUGUUUCGUGUUACUGAAAAGUUUUAGUUUUCAAAGCUUUUUCAUCUAGUUUAACCAAAAUAAUUUCUCAAACAUAUUUUCAAUGGGUGCUUAUGUAUUUGAUUAUAAUAAUUGCCUAACUAGGUCUAGGCAUCCAUCUAUUCUGGGAGACAAACCAAAAAAGUCCAGGACAACUGGCAUUUGGACCAUUUGCUGACUCCUGUCUGAUUAAAUUGUUUUUGUCUGUAAUGGGUGGAUGGAUUAGAUCAAUGGCAUACACCAGGCUGCAUAAGUACAGGACAUUCUCUAUACUGGGGGCUAAGUUAGAGACAUUUAUUCUUUCCCAGCAGAUCAUUUAAGGGAAAAUAUUUACUAGGUGUGUGUGGUUUAUAAGACAUAACUUGAUCAAUUUUAAGAUUAGUGACAACUUAAAAAGUUCUGUUUUUGAAUUUAAAUAAAAAAUUAAAGCUAAAGGGCUUUAGCUUUGAGGCCUGAAUCUAUCUGCAUGAUUUCUUUUUCACAUUCACAUAUAUAGGCAAUUUCCCUUUAUGUUUUUGCCAGAUAACCUUCUCCAUAAUUGCACGCUUGUCUGGGGAUCUAAGACAAGCAAAAUAAUGGUUUCUUAAUUAAAUAUGAGAACUCUUAAGUAGUUACCAUAAUUCUACAUGGGAAGGCUUAUAGAUUUCCUUGCAAGAUUCAUCUUCUGUAGGACACAAUGAAGAAUGAUUAGGAGGAAAGGACAUAGCAGAUUAUCAAGUAUAUUAUGUCUGUGUUGAAUAGCCUUUAAAAGAAACUGAGAUAUAAUUGUCAUAUAACAAAUAUUUUAUUUAUUUUAUUACAUUUUUUUUUUAAAUGCUUGCUUCCCUAUUGUUUUUAUUUUUUAUUUUUAUUUAUUUUUUUUUUGGGGGGGGGUGCCUGCACCUUCGGCAUGUGGAGGUUCCCAGGCUAGGGGUCAAAUCGCAGCUGCAGCUGCUGGCCUACACCAUAGAUAGCCACAGCAACACUGGAUCCUUCACCCACUGAGAGAGGCCAGGGAUCAAACCCCAAACCUCAUGGUUCCUAGUUGGAUUCAUUUCCGCUGUGCCACGACGGGAACUCCACACUCUCUUCUUUGUGAUGAGAACUUUUAAGUCUACUCUCUUAGCAACUUUCAAAUAUACAAUAUGGUAUUGUUAACUGUGUCACCAUGCUGUACAUUACAUCCCCAGGUCUUAGUUAUUUUAUACCUUUUAACCACUGUUACCAUCCAUUACACCUAUUCCCCACCCCCUGCCUCUGGCAACCACCAGUCUGUUCUUUGUAUUUAUGAGGUUUUUGUUUUUUUAAGUUUCCACCUAUAAGUGACAGCAUAUAGUAUUUGUCUUUCUCUGUCUGACUUAUUUCACUUAGCAUCAUGCCCUCAAGGUCCAUCUGUAUUUACUCAGAUAUCAGGAUUGCCUUCUUUUUCAUGAUUGAAUAUACCCCAUUGUAUAUAUAAACACAUUUACUGUUACUAUCCAUUUAUAGACACUUAGGUUGUUUCCAUGUCCUGGUUGGUGUAAAUAAUGCUGCAGUGAAUGUGGGGGUGCAGGUAUCUUUGUGAGAUAGUGAUUUUGUUUCUUCAUCUAACUACCCAGAAGUGGAAUUGCUGUUUCAUGUGGUAGUUCAAUUUUUAAUUCUUUUUUUUUUUUUUUUGUCUUUUGUCCUUUUAGGGCUGAACCCUUGGCAUAUGGAGGUUCCCAGGCUAGGGGUCUAAUUGGAGCUGUUGCUGCCAGCCUGUACCACAGCCAGAGCAACGCAGGAUCUGAGCCUCAUCUGCGACCUACACCACAGCUCACAGCAACACCGGAUCCUUAACCCACUGAGCAAGUCCAGGGAUUGAACCCAUACCUCAUGGUUCCCAGUCAGAUUUGUUUCUGCUGUGCCACAAUGGGAACUCCUCAAUUUUUAAUUUUUUGAGGAACUUCCAUAUUGUUUACAUAGUGGAUACACCAGUUUACAUUAGCACCAACAAUGCACAAGGAUUGAAUAGCCUUUUUUUAAUGAAAAUCUAUUCAAAAAAAUUAAACACACACAUAUAAAACUUGUCAGCAUUUUCACAUAUAUAUAGUUUUUUCUUCUAUUGAAAUUAUGCUUUUUAUUUUUUAAUUUAAUUUAUUUAUUUUUGUCUUUUUGCCUUUUCUAGGGCCCCUCCUGCGGCAUAUGGAGGUUCCCAGGCUAGGUGUCUAAUUGGAGCUAGAGUUGCUGGCCUACGCCAGAGCCACAGCAACGCGGGUUCUGAGCCACAUCUGUGACCUACAUACACCACAGCUCACGGCAACGCCAGAUCCUUAACCCACUGAACAAGGCCAGGGAUCAAACCCGAAACCUCAUGGUUCCUAGUCGGAUUCUUUAACCACUGAGCUACUACGGGAACUCCCAAAUUAUGCUUUUUAAACUCAAGUAAAACAACAUCUGUAAUUGCACAUAAACAUUGUCUUAGCUUUUUUUUAAACUGAAGAUUUCCCUUUUUGAUGAAAAUUUAGAAACUAUUUCACAUGAAUUGUGUAUCCAUAAUGCUAUAUCUUUGAACAAAUUUUAUGUGAAAUGGAACUAUAUGGCUUGGGAUGUGGGUUGAGCAGUUUGAGGAAGAGUAAAUUGACCUCAGAAUUUAAUUCAGAGUUUAAAACUGCUGAUGAGGCAAGAGUUGCCACUGGGAAUGGAGAGCAGUGUUGAAUAGGAGUGGGUCACAGAUAAUGUGGUUUAGCAGAUUAGGGGUGGAAUAAUGGGUGCAAAAUUUCUUCUUUGCUCAUACUAUGAAACUGGGAGUAGGGCUUUCAUCAAAACUUCAGUCUUCCUGACUCUCUGGUUGCUUUACUGUAUCCCAGUGUCUCUUUUGGCAACCCCUAACUUUAUCCUUGUUGUAGCAGCAGUGUUAACCCCAGGCUGAUGGUGAGAUGAUGGAUUGGAGUUACUUAGCUAUAGGUGAGGUUUACAAAAAAAAUUGUUAGAAAGUGAUUGGUUGGGAUUAUCAUUCUAAGAACAUUUUUAAAUGAGUUUCUGAAAUUAGACUCCAGGGUGAUAUUGUGAAGUUAGGAGUGUUUGGUUAUAGUUUGCUUAGUGUUGUUACAUGGUAUGGUACUUGAGGGAAUUCCAAACAUUUCUGAUUUCUUAUUGGAAUUAAAGAAAAGUUUGAAGUUAAAAUAUUGGCUUAUCUGGAGUUCCCUUGUGGUGCAGUGGGUUAAGGAUCUGGCAUUGUCACUGUGGUGACUUGGGUUGUUGCUGUGGUGCGCCGCGAGUUCAGUCCCUGGCCCAGGAACUUCCACAUGUUGUGG
rnacentral:lncRNA from 1 species